rnacentral:rRNA from 1 species
AUACGGAGGGUGCAAGCGUUAUUCGGAAUCACUGGGCGUAAAGGACGCGUAGGCGGGUUGGCAAGUCAGAUGUGAAAUCCUACAGCUUAACUGUAGAACUGCAUUUGAAACUGCUAACCUAGAGUAUGGGAGGGGGAGAUGGAAUUAGUGGUGUAGGGGUAAAAUCCGUAGAUAUCACUAGGAAUACCGAAAGCGAAGGCGAUCUCCUGGAACAUAACUGACGCUAAGGCGUGAAAGCGUGGGGAGCAAACAGGAUUAGAAACCCCAGUAGACC